UCCGAUGGAUCCGAUGGAUCCAAAGGAUCCGAUGGAUCCGAUGGAUCCAAAGGAUCCGAUGGAUCCAAAGGAUCCGAUGGAUCCAAAGGAUCCGAUGGAUCCGAUGGAUCCAAAGGAUCCGAUGGAUCCGAUGGAUCCGAAGGAUCCGAUGGAUCCGAUGGAUCCAAAGGAUCCGAUGGAUCCGAUGGAUCCGAUGGAUCCAAAGGA